UCCACUAACCGCUCAUUUCACUAUUACAGAACCAAAACUCGCCCAGUUGUCAGCCUGCAGCUUCUCUGCAAACCUUAAUAGCAGAUCCCAGCAAGACUUACUUUACCUUAUUCAAUCGCCAUGCAUUCUGCCACUCGAAGAAGAAGUCAAGGAGGCCUCUACAGAGUCAUCAUGCGCCGUAACUCUGUAUACGUCACCUUCGUCAUCGCCGGCGCUUUUCUCGGAGAACGAGCUGUAGAUUAUGGAGUUCAUAGGCUCUGGGAAUACAACAAUGUUGGGACGAUAUGAGGACAUUCCGGUGCUGGGACAGAGGCAAUCAGAGGAAUGAAAUCGCCAUGCCCCUUUCUGGAUGUUUUGAAUUUGUUAUCGAGGACUGGUAUAAUGGAUUUGUUUCUUAACCAUGAGUUGAUUGAAGCAUCAUUCGGGAUUUUCAAUUAAUCAGAUUUGUUAAUGGCAGCAUCUAAAUGACCGAACCCACUUUGUCAUCAUAGUUGCAGUUGGGGCAAGGAUAAGGUUCUGUUUGUGAUUUGAUUGUCAAUGUUUAUGAUAACAGGAUGACUGAUAUUUGAGGGGGUAAAAACCAG